rnacentral:other from 1 species
AAAUCCCUGAGGAGUGCGUGAUUCACGUCGCAGUGCCGACCGAUCAAGCUUUAAAAAACGGGAGCUGGUGCUUGAUCCCCAUGUGCAUGCCCGGCAAUACGGGAAGCCUGACGGGUUCAAACUGGCGCCCACCCUGGGAAACCGGGUUCUCCACAGCAACUGGACACGGCUCCUUGGGGAUUUG